UGGGGGAUAUUGGACAAUGGGCGAAAGCCUGAUCCAGCGACGCCGCGUGGAGGACGAAGCCCUUCGGGGUGUAAACUCCUUUUGUCGGGGAAAAAGGGCUGAUGGUACCCGACGAAUAAGCCCCGGCUAACUACGUGCCAGCAGCCGCGGUAAUACGUAGGGGGCGAGCGUUACCCGGAAUCACUGGGCGUAAAGGGUGCGUAGGCG
rnacentral:rRNA from 1 species